rnacentral:lncRNA from 1 species
UUUUGAAUGACAUUUCAAGGAAGAGCGAGGGCCUCAGCGGCCGGGUCCUGAGAAAACUCCCCUUUCUGGCUCAUGCGCUGUAUGUCCAGGCCCCCACCGUCACCAUAGAGGGGUUCCUCCAGGCCCUGUCUCUGGCAGUGGACAAGCAGUUUGAAGAGAGAAAGAAGCUUGCAGCUUACAUCUGAUCCUGGGCUUCCCCAUCUGGUGCUUUUCCCAUGGAGAACACACAACCAGCAGACGCAUGUCUAGAAGACAAAAGGUACAAUAUUCUUGCUGCCGAAGAAAAGAAAAAAUUGCCAAACCUGAAUUGCUGUGAAGGACAUAGCUUGGAAGGCAUGACAGAAGGUUCCCUGCAGUUAUGGAGGAUGAGUAUGGGUGAGGUGCUGUGGACCCCAGCUCCAGUAUCACUGGGCAAGUCUUGACAGGACACCAAGGUCAUGGAGGUCAGCCUUGUGGAGCCCAUGCUGCACUCAGAUGAGAUCUGUGGGUCCAAACAGCUCAGGCCAUCUGAGUUUGUCCUGUUUGAUUUGCUUGUUAUAUAAAAUCAAUCAAUCAAAAGAUAGAUGAGUGA